AUCGCUUCUCAGCCUUUUAGCUAAGAUCAAGUGUACUAUCUGUUCAUAUCAGUUUAAUAUCUAAUGCAUCCUCUAUCUGAGGACAUUUAAAAGGAAACCACCACUCAUUUGUCAGUUUGUCAUACUAUGGUGGCUUGCCUGUUGCUGUGAUGCUGGAAAAUAUGUCACCAGUAUUUCAAAUACCAG
ensembl:snRNA U2 U2 spliceosomal RNA